rnacentral:rRNA from 1 species
UGACGGUACCUUGAUAAGAAGCACCGGCUAACUACGUGCCAGCAGCCGCGGUAAUACGUASGGUGCGAGCGUUAAUCGGAAUUACUGGGCGUAAAGCGUGCGCAGGCGGUUUGGCAAGUCAGAUGUGAAAUCCCCGAGCUCAACUUGGGAACUGCGUUUGAAACUGCCAGACUAGAAUAUGUCAUACGGGGGUAGAAUUCCACGUGUAGCAGUGAAAUGCGUAGAGAUGUGGAGGAAUAUCCAUGGCGAAGCAGCCCCCUGGGCUAACACUGACGCUCAAGCACGAAAGCGUGGGGAGCAAACAGGAUUAGAUACCGUGGUAGUCCACGCCCUAAACGAUGCUACUAGUUGUUGGGGGAGUAAAAUCUAUGAGUAACGUAGCUAACGCGCGAAGUUGACCGCCUGGGGAGUACGGUCGCAAGAUUAAAACUCAAAGGAAUUGACGG